UACGGAGGGUGCGAGCGUUAUUCGGAAUCACUGGGUUUAAAGGGUGCGUAGGCGGUUCGGUCAGUCAGUUGGGAAAGGCCCUUGCUUAACGAGGGAGGUGCGAUUGAUACUGACGAGCUUGAAUCGGGAUGAGGCAGGCGGAAUGUGGCAUGUAGCGGUGAAAUGCAUAGAUAUGCCAUAGAACACCGAUUGCGAAGGCAGCCUGCUGGGCCUGUAUUGACGCUGAGGCACGAAAGCGUGGGGAGCAAACAGG
rnacentral:rRNA from 1 species